AAAAAAAACAACUUUUGAACCGAUACGCGAUAGCAAAAUUUCAACUUGUACGUCGAAAUUCAAUACUCUAGUAACAAUUUCAAAAUGAUCAUCAUCCCUCAAAACCAUUUCCCAUUCUAAUACCUCCCUGACUGGUUCAUUUAGUUCAUUCAUUCCACCGCAUAAUAUUCCCUUUUUUAAUUUUGAAGACCAAUGCAGACAAGCCCCCCAUCUGGAAUAGAAAAGAGGGUCUUUGCAUUUUAAGGUGUUCCAUUUCCUUUUCGAAUCCGACCAUAUGAGACACCCUCCAAAAGGCUUUCCUGCCAACAAAACAACAUAUGAACUACCAUUGUGCUUUAUGGAAACAGAAGAAGCUCGGUGAGAGGCAUAAGGUAAAGAUGGAAAGUCUGACCAAUUACCAUCUGCAAAAUAAAUACAUGAACUUAAAAUCUUUUUUGGAGAUUCACGUCCACCUAUAAACAUACAAGUCUUUUUGUCUAUAGAAACCACACUUUGUCCCAUGCAAGAGGUCAAACUAUCGGUGGUAAUCUUCAUUAUACUGCCAUCGUCUUUUUCAGAUAUUAGAUACGCGUCCUUCGAUCUUCCAGCAGUUGACAAACCACCUUGAACAAUAACACUAUCAUCCAAAUCACAAACGGCCGGUAGACGCAGGCUAGGUAAUUCUUUGAGACAGGCAGGUAAAUCAGUUCUUUUUAGCGAGUAAAUACUAUUUCGAAGUGUUAAAGGAGAGUUGUUAAAUAUAAUCUCGCUUUUUACGUAUCGGAUAUAUUGCAUACAUGGAUCAGGGGAUUCCACAAGAUCAUACUUUCCAACUAGUUUACUACUGGCAUGCUGAAUACUAUAAUGUUGUAAAAAAAAGUAGAACUCUUCCCACUCGUCAAAUGGUUCAACCAUUUCGCAAAGAUGUUUAAGUUUAGAAUCCAUCAAGAAAUUCCAAAAUGUACAGACAUCAAGGAUUUCAACAUAUUCCCAGCCGUUCUUGACCCAUCGAGAUUUGAGAGAUUCAAUUGUAGGGUAUGCAUAAAGCCCAUGCAACGGUGUUCCCCAUUCUUUAAAGUGCUUCACCAUUACAUUAGCAAAUGGAUGAUCAAAAGUUGCAGGAGCUAUCUGUUCAAAAAAACAGGAAUGAGCAUCCGGGAACUUUGACAUCCACCUAAUUAAUUUUUCAGAUGCUUGUCGUGGCAUAUACACCGCAGCAACUUCAGAUAUGAACAAAAUAGCAUCAUUGCAAUAAUCAAUUCCAUAUUUUUCAAGACAGGACUCCAAUUGAUUAAGAAGAUUCAGGUUGCAACCAAAAGAGUGAUAGUUUUUUGUAUGAAUUUCUGUACCAUCCAAAUCAAAUUCCUUGUCUUCUAAAACGAUACUGCUUAAAAAGGAAUCAGAACGAAUCAUCUGUACCCUGUUUUCGAUAGUUUCUGGAUAAUCUACAUCAUAAAAAACAACAUCAUCAGUGUUAUAUUCAUGAGAACUUAAAAGUUGAAAGGCUAAGGGGUCGUAUCCUGCACCUAAAUUCACUAUUGCCUUUCUUUUGCCGGUUUUAUUCUUCAAAAACUGGUACACUGCAAAUCGAAUAGCCAUGCAUCGUGUCCAAUAACCUCUAUUUACGCUUGGCGAUCUUCUAGGUGAUUUCUGUAUAAACGGUUGAUAAUAAGAAUGUCCUACGGUAAAACCUGGAUAUCCACAUUUUUCAACUGAGGCUUUUGAAAGAAUUGAGCUGUCAUUGGUUUUACGAACUUCUCUAUCUUUUGACUUAGUUUUCCUUUGAUUUUUGUUUGACAUUGUAUAUGAAUAAAGAGAAGCUCAUUUAAUCUUUCGAAGCCUUGAGAAUUUUUGCAGUUAAGUUACACAAGCUUACGAAGAUUAGUGGAAAGGAAUUAUAAUAUUGAUCAGAAAACGACAAUACCAAUAUGACCGGAAUUGCUUAAAGUUUUACAUAAUUCGUGUAAAUCGU